rnacentral:rRNA from 1 species
UACGAAGGGGGCUAGCGUUGCUCGGAAUCACUGGGCGUAAAGGGUGCGUAGGCGGGUCUUUAAGUCAGGGGUGAAAUCCUGGAGCUCAACUCCAGAACUGCCUUUGAUACUGAGGAUCUUGAGUUCGGGAGAGGUGAGUGGAACUGCGAGUGUAGAGGUGAAAUUCGUAGAUAUUCGCAAGAACACCAGUGGCGAAGGGCGGCAUCACCUGGCCCGAUACUGACGCUGAGGCACGAAAGCGUGGGGAGCAAAGCAGGGAUUAA